rnacentral:ncRNA from 1 species
CAGCAUCGCUAGGGGUCCUGUGCGCUGUGUUGUGGUGUCCAUAUCCAGUCUGAUUGUGGAAUGUUGCCGCUUCAUGUUGCACGGGUGAGAAAUACCCUUGGAACCUGACCCGGUUAAUCCCGGCGUAGGGAAGCGUCAUCUGCUUGGU